GAGUCACUGGGACUCAAUUAAACCUAAAGGCGCAAUGAAAGUAAAGGUCCGCCUCGCGCGGACCGAGGGAGGAUGGGCCCGUCUACGGGCGGGCCCCGCACUCCCGGGGCGUCUCGUUCUCAUCGCGAGAAGAGGCGCACCCAGAGCGUACACGCUGGGACCCGAAAGAUGGUGAACUAUGCCUGGUCAGGACGAAGUCAGGGGAAACCCUGAUGGAGGUCCGUAGCGAUUCUGACGUGCAAAUCGAUCGUCGGAACUGGGUAUAGGGGCGAAAGACUAAUCGAACCUUCUAGUAGCUGGUUCCCUCCGAAGUUUCCCUCAGGAUAGCUGGCGCUCGCCUUUGCGAGUCUCAUUCGGUAAAGCGAAUGAUUAGAGGCAUUGGGGUCGAAACGGCCUCAACCUAUUCUCAAACUUUAAAUGGGUGAGAUCUCCGGCUUGCUUAAAGCAUGAAGCCGCGAGAGAUCGGAUCAGAGAGUGCCAAGUGGGCCAAUUUUGGUAAGCAGAACUGGCGCUGUGGGAUGAACCAAACGCCGAGUUAAAGCGCCCAAAUCGACGCUUAUGGGAUACCAUGAAAGGCGUUGGUAACUUAAGACAGCAGGACGGUGG
rnacentral:rRNA from 1 species